rnacentral:lncRNA from 1 species
UGGACUUCUUAGGGAACCAUCACUCAGCCCACCACAUCUGCAUAUGUUGAAGUCAUCAAGAUCAAGGAGACAGCACUGCUGGAGAGCAAGCCAGUGAACCAGGAGCUACAAGAGUCAGGAUUGAGCCGGGCAUGGUGGCUUACACCUGUAAUCCCAGCACUUUGGGAGGCCGAGGCAGGCAGAUCACAAGAUUGUUGCUUUCAAGGGGCUGGAGAGAGAAGUUGCAGGGAGAACAGAAACCUCAGAGAGAGCUGGAGCUCCUGCGUCCUGCUCCAGCCUGGGUGACAGAGCACAACCCGAUCUCUCAAAAUAAAUACAUAAUUCUCAAAUGUUAGUAAAAGGGUAGUGAAC